CUUACUCUAUGUGUCACAUGGUGAAAUGGCAUACCCUUGACAGAUGUCAGUGUAGGGUCUUCUUAACUACUUAUCCUCUCUGAAUGGCAUGCAAACAAUGAGUUUCAAUCUAGCUGAUUGUUAUGCCUGAAUUGAGCAGAGAAAACUCCAGGCCCAUGUCAUAGCUAAACGAUGUAAAUAUGGUCUGAACUGAAGAGAUAUGCUCACAUCCGCCAUCUCUUGGCAAAAUGGAAUAUCUGAAUUUUGAGUAUACUGAAUUCAAUUCAGCAGAUGUAUCUCCCUGCUUUGCCAUGCAGCCUGCUGUCCUAGACACUUCAAGGGCUUAGAAAAUGAGUCCACAUUCUCUGUCUGUAAACAGACGUUUGUGACAUCACAGAUGUUACAUGCUCACAGCAGCUUGCCCGUUUUCUGGCUUGAACUUUUUUCACGUCAAAAAGACCAAUGCCUGGCCUUUUCUAGACAGAUAAACAACUCUGUACCUGGAACAAAAAGACAAACCUACCAGCUCCGUAGUUGCCUAACACUCCUCAGUGAGGAACCAAGUGGGCCCUGCCUGGAUGCUAAUGGCAAGUUUGGCUCUUGGGAGCUGAAACUAAAAGGGACAAUGUAUUGUGCUCAGAGGUACUAUACACAGGAGGAGCCUGAAGCUGACUAUGAGCCAAGUCUGUAGAGAGUACCCAAAGUCAAAGAUUCCUUUAAGUCUCCCAGUCUUCAAAACCAAAGGUGAAGCGUGGAACUGGAUCCGGAUGACAAAGCAGAAAGGUAACCGCUCCCUGGCGCAGACACACCUGGUGGGAUGAGAUGGGACGGUGCCUUCCUUAUCUACUCACUUGGUAGAGCUAGUUCACCCUCUGCCCCUGGAUGGAAACAGAAAUGUUUGGUCAUUACAGUUACUGUUAGUCAUUAAAUAGUCUCACUUCAGUUAAAAUGGUCAGUUUCGGAUAGUAACCAAAAUUCAAACCAUGAUUAAAAGUUG
rnacentral:lncRNA from 1 species